GUGAGGAAUUUUCCGCAAUGGGCGAAAGCCUGACGGAGCAAUGCCGCGUGAAGGAUGAGGGCCUAUGGGUUGUAAACUUCUUUUCUCAGAAAAGAAUUAUGACGGUAUCUGAGGAAUAAGCAUCGGCUAACUCUGUGCCAGCAGCCGCGGUAAGACAGAGGAUGCAAGCGUUAUCCGGAAUGAUUGGGCGUAAAGCGUCUGUAGGUUGUUUAAAAAGUAUUCUGUCAAAGAUUAGGGCUUAACCCUAGAUAGGCAGAAUAAACUUUUAAGCUAGAGUUUGGUAGAGGCAGAGGGAAUUCCCGGUGGAGCGGUGAAAUGCGUAGAUAUAGAGAGGAACACCAAAGGCGAAGGCACUCUGCUGGGCCAAUACUAACACUGAGAGACGAGAGCGAGGGGAGCAAAUGGGAUUAGAUACCCGGGUAGUCC
rnacentral:rRNA from 1 species